CAACCCUCCCACCUCGGCGCCUCAAAGUACUGGGAUUACAGAUAUCAAGGCUUUAAGCAAGAUUCAGAUGAAGGGCCUGCUUUACCAGCUCACCUAUGAAUAUGGAAGCAUCAGCUUACUUUUUGCAGCACAUGUGUCUCAGGGGGUUGUCCCUUCCCACAGUGUGUAGAUUGGCAUCGAGAUGACGUUCUCUCUCCAGGGUGCAGUGAUGACCGACAUAUGCAGUGACAUGGUAGCCUGUCACCUGGCCGGAGAUGGCAUGGGAGAUGGAAACGGGACCAAGCUGAGCCAGUGAGGCUCCUGCCUGAAGUUUUUACUGGAAAUGGGAGGACACACAUGUUCUCUUUCACUACUGUUCUUAAGCUGGCAGGGGGUAAAGCAAGCUCAUGGAGGUCAGUCAUCAAUGGCACCAUCAGCAGAGACCCCGCUGAAGCACGAAGCCAGUGCAUGGGAAGGCACGCGGAGCAAGAGGGAGUCCGGGCGCCAUUGCUGGAGCAGCCCCUGAAGCCGGUGGGUCCUGGGACUGUUCCAUUGUGUGGGCCAUUUUUGCUUGAGUUGGACUUUUUUCUUACAACUAAAAUGCAGCCCUAAAUAAUACAGUCACUUUCUUUUUUAUAUUAGAAUUUAAAUAUUUUAGACAUAUUUCUCUGUUUAAGCACAUAUGCCCCUUAAUACCUAACACAAUACCAGUGACUACCUCCUUACAGAAUCACUGAAUCUUGCUUUCAUAUGAGAAAGUGAACAGUUUCCACUCCUGUCUUAAAUGUUUCAUUUAGCACUUGAGAAUAGAAUAAGUGUCGCACAUGAAAGGUUUCAUGUGCAUAAAUAAUGAGAAGAUGCUGAAGUGAGACCAAAAUCAACUUCCCAGCAAAUUCAUUCUCCAUCACACAAUUUCAUACCAGAAUGACUGAGUUCUAAGGUCAUACAAUCACAGUCGUUGUAAGUGUUAAUGGGAGAGAGAGAGAGAGAGAGACAGAGAGAGAUACUGAAUUCAAUCUAAAUUCCAAUCUCCAAUUCUCCUCCAUCAGAAUUGGGAGCACCUCCCUCCCCAUGUAAUCACUGGGGGUGAAACAAGAUCAUAGUAGUUUCCAUGGGCUGCCCCUGGUGGAGCCAAGACAGGCCCCUGAACACCCCUGCUGCCAGAUUAAUUUUCCCAAAGACUAUUUUCCAUCAUGUUUCUUUGCAUCUUGGAUACCUGUAAUUGGUUAAUGCAUUUGGCAUUAACCAAUGAGUCUCACCCUUGAGUGUGAAGCAUGCCCCUCACCCACCAGGAUUUGGGGAGUUGCUGGGAGGGCAUGUCUUCGUUGAAAACAAAGGGCUGUCACAUUCCAUUGCUUUUGAGUUACACAUAAUUUCAUUUUGAAAUUUGAAAUCAUAUUAGAGAAAGGCUUAUUAUUUUUUGUUAUACUGGGCAUAUUUUAGAAAUGGUUGAGAAGUACUGGCUUAAAUAAUGGGUUGCCAAGGCCCUCCAUAAGCCACUUCUUCCCAUCUAUUUUCUUACCAGAAGACAGCAGGCAGAGGGUUGGCUCACCAAAGCCCACCUGGGCCAGCUCCUUUCUAUCCCAGGGGGUGUGUCUCUCUGCUUUCUCCCCUCCCAACUAAACCUUAGUCAUCGUAAACCUCAGCCAGUUCAUGCUUCUCUUUCUUGCUAAUUCCAGCCUACCCAGAACUGUAUUUGUCAGACCCACUUAGAACUUAAUUAGCUUGACUUUGAAAUGUAUGCUAAUUUAACAUCUUCAACUAUAUCAUUAAGAGCCAAGCCAUUUCUCAUUUCCUCUGUUUUUCCUAUACUACUUAGCACAGUGCUAGACCUAUAACAAGCAUCUGUUCUGAAUCAAGAGAGAGGUUAAAAGAAGUGGCAUUUUCUUACAUCUGAGAUAUUAUUCAAAAUAUUUAACAACGUUGCCAUGGGACACCUGUCCAUCAGAAUGGAGUUGGAGGCCUAGAGCUACACUGCACUUAACACUUUGCUGAAAAAUAGAAGCAGCCUGAGAAUAGUAGGGGAGGGGAGGGUCUCAGGCUGCCCAGGAUGGGGAGAACCGGCUGAAAUGAAACACAUUCUAUUUACCACUAAUUAAUUUGAAUAGUAUCUCUGCUUCACUAUUUUUCAGUGUAAAUAGUAUCUCUGACAUGCUAGGGAGCUUAGGAAAAUGAUUCUAACAUCAUAUAAAUGACAGGUGUUGCUAUUAAGAAUGACUCAAGACUUGUGUUUUUGGUACUCUACAUGCCAUUCAUUCAUUCUUUCUACUAAGAGUAAUAGAAAGAAUGAAUGGCAUGUAAGGUAGACAUAGAGCUGCUCUAGAGCUCUAUGUCAGCAGUUGUAUGCCAACAGGAAAUGUGGUAUUUUAAUACUUCCGAAGGGUCUCUGCCCCUCCUGUGUGUACGACACAUCCUUGCAGGAGCCCACCCUUUAUCUUAUCUAACUUGUAGGGAGCCUGGCACAUCCAG
rnacentral:lncRNA from 1 species